rnacentral:rRNA from 1 species
UACGGGGGGGGCAAGCGUUGUUCGGAAUUACUGGGCGUAAAGGGCUCGUAGGUGGCCAACUAAGUCAGACGUGAAAUCCCUCGGCUUAACCGGGGAACUGCGUCUGAUACUGGAUGGCUUGAGUUCGGGAGAGGGAUGCGGAAUUCCAGGUGUAGCGGUGAAAUGCGUAGAUAUCUGGAGGAACACCGGUGGCGAAGGCGGCAUCCUGGACCGACACUGACACUGAGGCACGAAAGCGUGGGUAGCAAACAGG